rnacentral:rRNA from 1 species
UACGUAGGGUGCAAGCGUUAAUCGGAAUUACUGGGCGUAAAGCGUGCGCAGGCGGUUAUGUAAGACAGUUGUGAAAUCCCCCGGGCUCAACCUGGGAAUUGCAUUUGUGACUGCCCGACUAGAGUGUGUCAGAGGGGGGGUAGAAUUCCACGUGUAGCAGUGAAAUGCGUAGAGAUGUGGAGGAAUACCGAUGGCGAAGGCAGCCC